UACGGAGGGGGCUAGCGUUGUCCGAAGUUACUGGGCGUAAAGCGCGCGUAGGCGGGUUGGUAAGUCCGCUGUGAAAGCCCGGAGCUCAACUCCGGAGGGUCGGUGGAUACUGCCAGUCUUGAAGGUGCCAGGGGGAGAUGGAAUUACCGGUGUAGCGGUGAAAUGCGUAGAUAUCGGUAGGAACACCAGUGGCGAAGGCGGUCUCCUGGGGCGGCCCUGACACUGAG
rnacentral:rRNA from 1 species